UAUAUAGUGGAAUGAAACUUCGGUCGAGUGAAGCUAUAGAGAGCGGCGGACGGGUGAGUAACGCGUAGGCAACCUGCCCCAUACAGAGGGAUAGCCUCGGGAAACCGGGAUUAAAACCUCAUAACGCGAGGAGUUCACAUGGACUUCUCGCCAAAGAUUCAUCGGUAUGGGAUGGGCCUGCGUCUGAUUAGCUAGUUGGUGAGGUAACGGCUCACCAAGGCGACGAUCAGUAGCCGACCUGAGAGGGUAAUCGGCCACAUUGGAACUGAGACACGGUCCAAACUCCUACGGGAGGCAGCAGUGGGGAAUAUUGCACAAUGGGCGAAAGCCUGAUGCAGCAACGCCGCGUGAGCGAUGAAGGCCUUUGGGUCGUAAAGCUC
rnacentral:rRNA from 1 species